GCCGCCGCGUCCAAUAGCCUCUGCAUCUUCAUUAUGUC
rnacentral:sRNA from 1 species